rnacentral:tRNA from 1 species
GGCUCCAUAGUGUAGUGGUUAGCACGUCAGCUUUCUAUGCAGAAGGUCCUGGGUUCGCACCCUGGUGGAGCCA